GGCGACGAGGAUGGGAUUCCGGUGCUGCUCCAGUAACAGAAGGAAGUAGAAAUUAAGUUUUCCUGUAGAAAAAACUCGCAGGGUCCUAGUUUGGCAGCAUCUGGCAGAAUUCCAAGAAUUUGGAGAACCGAUGAUUCCAAGUUCAGUGCUUUCAGCUCCACCCUUCUUUUGCAGUAUUCGGGAUAUUUGUAUUAAGGAAAAUAACGUUUACUGAUGAAAAUAGUGAGGUAACCAUCUUCUAAAGCAACACUGCUUCAAACAGCAAGCACGCAUAAGAUCCUGGAGUAGUUACCCGAUUUCCAAUGCAGGAGGUUGUUUGGUGGCAGGGAUCUGCAAGUAUCCAACAGCAGGCACUCCAUGAAGCUGUGCAGUGGCGUAUAGUGCCAGCAUCCGAUAAAGAAAACGAAGAUUCUCUAACGAAGCAGGAAAAGUUCCCAUGUGAGACAGAUCCAUAUCAAUGCUUUAAAUAAAAAGCGGAGGCAGUGGCAAUCGGAUUCAACAGCACCAUUCUCUUGCAGUUAUCCCCCUUUUUUUUUUUUGCUCACCCUUUUCUUCUCAUGGCACUGAAAUGGAGUAUCCAAAGUGCCACUGAACUCAGAGAACUCCAUGCCGGAAUGGGGGUGAGACUUGUGCUAUACCUCUGACAUAGAAUAAGGAUGGCAAGCACGUAACAUUACGAAAUGUAGGACAAAUUCAAGCGAGAGAGAGAGAGGGAGAGCAAGAGACAGAUGGCGGACCUGGCUAGAAGCCAAAGCCAGUGAAAUGAAUUACACUGCUGAAUAACUGUACACCAUUGAUUCUGCCACUUGUUGCUGCAUGGCAAAAAAAAAAAAAAAAAAAAAAAAAGGCCCUGAUGUUGGCAGGAAUCUCCUUGUGUGUCAUGCAUGCCACAGACAACUUUUCACACAUAACUCACAACACUGACAAUGAUAUGCCAUCACAGAGAACGCCAUAUGUGUGGGUUUGUGUGCGUGAGAAAAAGAAAAAGUGUGCGUGUAUGUGUGCGUGCGAGUGAGCAAGAGAGAGAGACUCUGUGUGUGAGUGCGUGUGUGUGUGUGUGUGUGUGUGUAGGGGAAAACAAUCACUGCAAUCCAGCCAUUUUGUUUAAUGAAGAAUGGAAGGCUGGCAUUCAGAGACGUGGUUAUGUGCCGCAUAUUAAUGUGUGCUCUGUAGACAUCCUCCCCCUUUUAAAUGAGUGGCACAGGAAUGAAGCCCUCUAUAGAACAGCCACAGUGGGAGCAGGAACUCACAAGGUAACAUAUCAUCGCUAAACCUAAAACUGUGGCAUACGGAAUUCCGCAGCAGAACAAGUUGCUGUCUGACAAGAAGAAAAGCUGGUCCCAGGGUUACAAUGUUUGGGUGUUUUCGAAAAGAUAGCCCGAGUCAUAGCAGAUUGUUCAAUAAAUGCUUCAUACCCAGGAUGAAGGGAUACAUUAUGGGAUGCCCAGGGGGCUUUGGAAAUCAAAUACAAUGUUUGAGUAGCACAAUUUGAGGUACAUUAUAAAAAAGCAAUUUGAAUUGCCAAUGAGGCGACACAUAUCUGCAUGCUAAUUAGACCUGUGUCAAGCUUAUUCUGCAGGCUUCUGUUGAUGGCUAGGAAUGUGCUUGUAACUCUGCUGAGAGAUUGUUUCUGCAUAAAUUAUCAGCUUUGUCCUACUGAUCAUUUUCCACAAACAAACAUGAAAUGUAAGAUCAAAAGGCAAUUCUGAAAUUAAAAUUAUUGAUUGAUAAAGCCUAGAUUUCAGAAUCUAAUUAGAGGAGGCACAAACAAAAGCUGAUAUUAUUACAGAUUGUGCCUGAGCUAGCAGCCAGAUUGUGAAAGGCUUGUAAUUUAUCUUUGUUUA